AUGUGGAACCGCCCCCACCCCCUCUCACACUCCCGUCCCGGCGCCCUCUCCCCACUCCUCCGCGUCCUCCCCCGCGCCGUCGCCGGGCCGCCGCCGCCGUCCGAGCACGACCGGAUCCGGGUGGCGCCGCCUCCGCGGAUGGACGCCACCUCGCCGUCGGGGCGCCCCACCACGCCUCGGCGGCAGCUGCAGCUGCAGGGCCCGCGCCCGCCGCGGCUCAGCGUGCGCCCCGAGUCUCACGCCAUCAAGAAGCCGUCCGGGGCGCCGCCGCAGGCCCAGGGGCAGGGCCACGCCCGGCGGGAGGAGAAGCAGCAAGGCCAGCCGCCGCGGGAGCCGGUGAUCAUCUACGACGCGUCGCCCAAGAUCAUCCACACCAAGCCCAGCGAGUUCAUGGCGCUCGUGCAGCGUCUCACCGGCCCCGGCUCUGGCGCGCUCCCCUCCGAGGCCCAGACCCAGGACUACCAGAUGGACGAGGCCGUGCCGGGGCAGUCCUUCCUGCCGCCGGAGCUUCUCCUCUCGCCGUCCGCCGCGAUGUCCCCGGCCGCGAGGCUGGCUACCAUCGAGCGGUCCGUCCGGCCGAUGCCCGCGCCGACGCCGGAUUACGUCGACUUCAAUAACUACAGAUUCGACGACGGCGGCCUCGCGGCGGUUCUCGGCGCGGGUAGGCCAGGGCCCGGCAUCCUCUCCCCUUUGCCGUCGUCCCUGCCGCCAGCCGCGGCGUCCGUGCUGUUCUCGCCGCUGCCGUUCGACCCGAACGGCCUCAGCUGGCUGAACGAGCUGAGCCCCAUCCUCCGAGCGGCGUCCACCGGCGCCGGCUCCUCAGGCAGCGGCAGCGGCGGCGGCGGGACUAGCAACGGCGGCGCCUACCGGCAACCACAAUCCUACUACUCCGACCCCUUCGUCCCGAGCCCCCGCAACCUCCUUGCCACGCCCACCGUGCCGUCGCCGCGAACCUUCGCGGAGCUCAUGAGCAACCUGCCAGAUCUCUAG
rnacentral:rRNA from 1 species